rnacentral:pre_miRNA from 1 species
AGUGAAAUUGCUGGGUUGUAUGGUAAUUCUAUGUUUAACUUUUUGAGGAACCACCAAACUGUUUUCCACAGUGGCUGCACCAUCUUACAUUCCCACCAGCAGU